UACAGAGGUCUCGAGCGUUGUUCGGAUUCAUUGGGCGUAAAGGGCGCGUAGGCGGCGGGGUAAGUCUGGUGUGAAAUCUCGGAGCUCAACUCCGAAAUUGCACUGGAUACUGCUCUGCUAGAGGGCUGGAGAGGAGAUCGGAAUUCACGGUGUAGCAGUGAAAUGCGUAGAUAUCAGGAGGAAUACCGAUGGCGAAGGCAGGUCUCUGGGCUAUAACUGACGCUCAUGCACGAAAGCGUGGGGAGCAAACAGG
rnacentral:rRNA from 1 species